ACUAUUAACUCAAAGAAAGUAUAUGUAAACAUUUAAACAUCAUAUACUAAUAAUGAACAAGAGUGCAGAUUAAGUAACAAAUAUAUAAAUGAAAACCACCCAAGAUCAGUAAACGAUCUUUAACUAUUACUGUAUUCAUUUUAUAUUAAGGGAGUUCAUCCAGAGGCAGUGAGUGAACUUUGUGUCCUGAAACCAGAAUCAGUUGGGAAGAAUGGAACCAAGUCUACCCAAUUAAAAGGCUUACACAGGUCCCCUUCCAGAUGCUGAUGUCUUGGCUUCUGGUGCAAAACUACGUCAGAUUAAUCCCAAGCCUUUGCUGCCGCACAUACUUGAGGGCAUGUCAAAAGUAGAGUUGUACCUCUUGGCAGUCCACUUUCAUACCAGUGUCCCCAUAUAGCUGCAGGUGUUCCUGAUCUUAAUUUCCCCCCACUACCUGUGCUUGGUUUUCAGUUUGGCUGUAAUUUUAAAUAUGGCCAGACGGACGAGUGCAUGAUCCAUCUGAAACAUUCGUUUGGACUAGUGGAGGUAAAAAGCACCUCUGCUGAAAACAUUGCUCAGGUUCCAUUUAUGAAAAUUCAAAGAGGACUAGCCAAACUUAAAGAGACCCCUAAGUACUACUGGCAGGUACAAGGUCAGACUGCAGUGACUGGUCUACACUGAUGUGACUAUACUGUGUACUGUGAUGUGACUGACAUACAAUCAGAUUUCAUAAUACAGAUGAUCUGGCGAGAUGAUGCCUUCAUAACAUCAAUGAAAGUACUGUUAUAACGUUUAUCUGGAUGUGUAUCUUUCAGUGGUAUGAAUGGACAGAUUCUGUUCAUAUUAUAGUAUGAACCUAAGAUUUAUUUUUACAUUCAUAGUAAAUAUAUACUUUAUGUAGUUGAGAAGUAUGUAGCAUAUUUUGUAGUAGAUCUUUGAUAACAUAUUAGAUACAUCACAAAUUAUAACAAUAAAUAUAAUGUACUUGCUAUUAAUUAGAUAAAUGUACAUACCAAGGUGAAUACUUUUUGUAUUAAAUCUUCUGUAAUGUAUAUGAUAUGCAUAUUCUUUUACUACUUGCGUAUAUUUACAUUUGAUACAUUGUGUGAUAUAACAAAGAAGAUUUUUUUCAUGAGUUAUUAUAAAAAUACUUUUCAUUGUCAACUA